rnacentral:rRNA from 1 species
AACGAACGCUGGCGGCAGGCCUAACACAUGCAAGUCGAGCGAGCAUUUCGGUGCUAGCGGCGGACGGGUGAGUAACGCGUGGGAACGUGCCCUUUUCUGCGGAAUAGUCCUGGGAAACUGGGGGUAAUACCGCAUACGCCCUUUUGGGGAAAGAUUUAUCGGAGAAGGAUCGGCCCGCGUUGGAUUAGGUAGUUGGUGGGGGAAUGGCCCACCAAGCCGACGAUCCAUAGCUGGUGUGAGAGGAUGACCAGCCACACUGGGACUGAGACACGGCCCAGACUCCUACGGGAGGCAGCAGUGGGGAAUCUUAGACAAUGGGGGCAACCCUGAUCUAGCCAUGCCGCGUGAGUGAUGAAGGCCUUAGGGUUGUAAAGCUCUUUCAGCUGGGAAGAUAAUGACGGUACCAGCAGAAGAAGCCCCGGCUAACUCCGUG